rnacentral:rRNA from 1 species
UUAAGCGACUAAGCGUACACGGUGGAUGCCCUGGCAGUCAGAGGCGAUGAAGGACGUGCUAAUCUGCGAUAAGCGCCGGUAAGGUGAUAUGAACCGUUAUAACCGGCGAUUUCCGAAUGGGGAAACCCAGUGUGACUCGUCACACUAUCAUUAACUGAAUCCAUAGGUUAAUGAGGCGAACCGGGGGAACUGAAACAUCUAAGUACCCCGAGGAAAAGAAAUCAACCGAGAUUCCCCCAGUAGCGGCGAGCGAACGGGGAGGAGCCCAGAGCCUGAAUCAGCAUGUGUGUUAGUGGAAGCGUCUGGAAAGGCGCGCGAUACAGGGUGACAGCCCCGUACACAAAAGCGCAUGUGCUGUGAGCUCGAUGAGUAGGGCGGGACACGUGGUAUCCUGUCUGAAUAUGGGGGGACCAUCCUCCAAGGCUAAAUACUCCUGACUGACCGAUAGUGAACCAGUACCGUGAGGGAAAGGCGAAAAGAACCCCGGCGAGGGGAGUGAAAAAGAACCUGAAACCGUGUACGUACAAGCAGUGGGAGCACCCUUUGGGGUGUGACUGCGUACCUUUUGUAUAAUGGGUCAGCGACUUAUAUUCUGUAGCAAGGUUAACCGUAUAGGGGAGCCGUAGGGAAACCGAGUCUUAACCGGGCGUUAAGUUGCAGGGUAUAGACCCGAAACCCGGUGAUCUAGCCAUGGGCAGGUUGAAGGUUGGGUAACACUAACUGGAGGACCGAACCGACUAAUGUUGAAAAAUUAGCGGAUGACCUGUGGCUGGGGGUGAAAGGCCAAUCAAACCGGGAGAUAGCUGGUUCUCCCCGAAAGCUAUUUAGGUAGCGCCUCGUGAAUUCAUCUCCGGGGGUAGAGCACUGUUUCGGCUAGGGGGCCAUCCCGGCUUACCAACCCGAUGCAAACUGCGAAUACCGGAGAAUGUUAUCACGGGAGACACACGGCGGGUGCUAACGUCCGUCGUGAAGAGGGAAACAACCCAGACCGCCAGCUAAGGUCCCAAAGUCAUGGUUAAGUGGGAAACGAUGUGGGAAGGCCCAGACAGCCAGGAUGUUGGCUUAGAAGCAGCCAUCAUUUAAAGAAAGCGUAAUAGCUCACUGGUCGAGUCGGCCUGCGCGGAAGAUGUAACGGGGCUAAACCAUGCACCGAAGCUGCGGCAGCGAACGUAUCACCCAAGACAACUUUACGGAGUUGACGAUUGACGGAGCGAAGCGACGUCAAAGCGUUCAUUAAAGUCGAGUUGGCUUAGGGAUACGUUCGUUGGGUAGGGGAGCGUUCUGUAAGCCUGUGAAGGUGUGUCGUGAGGCAUGCUGGAGGUAUCAGAAGUGCGAAUGCUGACAUAAGUAACGAUAAAGCGGGUGAAAAGCCCGCUCGCCGGAAGACCAAGGGUUCCUGUCCAACGUUAAUCGGGGCAGGGUGAGUCGACCCCUAAGGCGAGGCCGAAAGGCGUAGUCGAUGGGAAACGGGUUAAUAUUCCCGUACUUGGUGUUACUGCGAAGGGGGGACGGAGAAGGCUAUGUUGGCCGGGCGACGGUUGUCCCGGUUUAAGCGUGUAGGUGUGUGUUCCAGGUAAAUCCGGUUCACUUUAACACUGAGGCGUGACGACGAGGCACUACGGUGCUGAAGCAACAAAUGCCCUGCUUCCAGGAAAAGCCUCUAAGCAUCAGGUAACAUCAAAUCGUACCCCAAACCGACACAGGUGGUCAGGUAGAGAAUACCAAGGCGCUUGAGAGAACUCGGGUGAAGGAACUAGGCAAAAUGGUGCCGUAACUUCGGGAGAAGGCACGCUGACACGUAGGUGAAGUGAUUUACUCAUGGAGCUGAAGUCAGUCGAAGAUACCAGCUGGCUGCAACUGUUUAUUAAAAACACAGCACUGUGCAAACACGAAAGUGGACGUAUACGGUGUGACGCCUGCCCGGUGCCGGAAGGUUAAUUGAUGGGGUCAGCGCAAGCGAAGCUCCUGAUCGAAGCCCCGGUAAACGGCGGCCGUAACUAUAACGGUCCUAAGGUAGCGAAAUUCCUUGUCGGGUAAGUUCCGACCUGCACGAAUGGCGUAAUGAUGGCCAGGCUGUCUCCACCCGAGACUCAGUGAAAUUGAACUCGCUGUGAAGAUGCAGUGUACCCGCGGCAAGACGGAAAGACCCCGUGAACCUUUACUAUAGCUUGACACUGAACAUUGAGCCUUGAUGUGUAGGAUAGGUGGGAGGCUUUGAAGUGUGGACGCCAGUCUGCAUGGAGCCGACCUUGAAAUACCACCCUUUAAUGUUUGAUGUUCUAACGUGGACCCGUUACCCGGGUUGCGGACAGUGUCUGGUGGGUAGUUUGACUGGGGCGGUCUCCUCCUAAAGAGUAACGGAGGAGCACGAAGGUUGGCUAAUCCUGGUCGGACAUCAGGAGGUUAGUGCAAUGGCAUAAGCCAGCUUGACUGCGAGCGUGACGGCGCGAGCAGGUGCGAAAGCAGGUCAUAGUGAUCCGGUGGUUCUGAAUGGAAGGGCCAUCGCUCAACGGAUAAAAGGUACUCCGGGGAUAACAGGCUGAUACCGCCCAAGAGUUCAUAUCGACGGCGGUGUUUGGCACCUCGAUGUCGGCUCAUCACAUCCUGGGGCUGAAGUAGGUCCCAAGGGUAUGGCUGUUCGCCAUUUAAAGUGGUACGCGAGCUGGGUUUAGAACGUCGUGAGACAGUUCGGUCCCUAUCUGCCGUGGGCGCUGGAGAACUGAGGGGGGCUGCUCCUAGUACGAGAGGACCGGAGUGGACGCAUCACUGGUGUUCGGGUUGUCAUGCCAAUGGCACUGCCCGGUAGCUAAAUGCGGAAGAGAUAAGUGCUGAAAGCAUCUAAGCACGAAACUUGCCCCGAGAUGAGUUCUCCCUGAGACUUAGAGUCUCCUGAAGGAACGUUGAAGACGACGACGUUGAUAGGCCGGGUGUGUAAGCGCAGCGAUGCGUUGAGCUAACCGGUACUAAUGAACCGUGAGGCUUAACCUU